rnacentral:rRNA from 1 species
AUUGAACGCUGGCGGAAUGCUUUACACAUGCAAGUCGAGCGGCAGCACGGGGGCAACCCUGGUGGCGAGCGGCGAACGGGUGAGUAAUACAUCGGAACAUGCCCAGUCGUGGGGGAUAACACUUCGAAAGAAGUGCUAAUACCGCAUACGUCCUGAGGGGGAAAGCGGGGGAUCGCAAGACCUCGCGCGAUUGGAGUGGCCGAUGUCAGAUUAGCUAGUUGGUGGGGUAAAGGCCUACCAAGGCAACGAUCUGUAGCUGGUCUGAGAGGAUGAUCAGCCACCCGAGAGCGGAGACACCGCCCAGACGCCUACGAGAGGCAGCAGUCGGGAACUUUGGACAACAGGGGCGACCCUGAUCCAGCCAUCCCGCGUCAGUGGCGAAGACCUUCGGGGUGUAAUGAUCUUCCUGCAGGAGCAAAACGGUGAGCCCUACCAUGGCUUGCUAAUGACGGUACCUGGUGAAGAAGCACCGGCUAACUACGUG